ACUCCUACGGGAGGCAGCAGUGGGGAAUAUUGCACAAUGGGCGCAAGCCUGAUGCAGCGACGCCGCGUGGGGGAUGACGGCCUUCGGGUUGUAAACUCCUUUCGUUAGGGACGAAGCCACACCUUUUUUUGGGUGUGGUGACGGUACCUUUGUUAAGAAGCACCGGCUAACUACGUGCCAGCAGCCGCGGUAAUACGUAGGGUGCGAGCGUUGUCCGGAAUUACUGGGCGUAAAGAGCUCGUAGGUGGUUUGUUGCGUCGUCUGUGAAAUUCCGGGGCUUAACUUCGGGGUGGCAGGCGAUACGGGCAUAACUAGAGUGCUGUAGGGGAGACUGGAAUUCCUGGUGUAGCGGUGGAAUGCGCAGAUAUCAGGAGGAACACCGAUGGCGAAGGCAGGUCUCUGGGCAGUAACUGACGCUGAGGAGCGAAAGCAUGGGGAGCGAACAGGAUUAGAUACCCUUGUAGUCCUGAGU
rnacentral:rRNA from 1 species